AACCUACUCCAUCCGUCCGGAAAUAUUUAUCAUCAAAAUGGAUAGAAAAAGAUGUAUCUAGAACUAAAAUACAUCUAAAUACAUCCUUUUUUAUCUAUUUUGAUGACAAGUAUUUUCGGACGGAGGGAGUAGAUU
rfam:Triticum aestivum genome assembly, contig: Triticum_aestivum_CS42_TGACv1_scaffold_177547_2DS